UGGGGAAUUUUGGACAAUGGGGGCAACCCUGAUCCAGCAAUGCCGCGUGUGUGAAGAAGGCCUUCGGGUUGUAAAGCACUUUUGUCCGGGAAGAAAUCGCACCUGAUAAUACCGGGUGUGGAUGACGGUACCGGAAGAAUAAGGACCGGCUAACUACGUGCCAGCAGCCGCGGUAAUACGUAGGGUCCAAGCGUUAAUCGGAAUUACUGGGCGUAAAGCGUGCGCAGGCGGUUGUGCAAGACCGAUGUGAAAUCCCCGGGCUUAACCUGGGAAUUGCAUUGGUGACUGCACGGCUAGAGUGUGUCAGAGGGGGGUAGAAUUCCGCGUGUAGCAGUGAAAUGCGUAGAGAUGUGGAGGAAUACCGAUGGCGAAGGCAGCCCCCUGGGAUAAUACUGACACUCAUGCACGAAAGCGUGGGGAGCAAACAGG
rnacentral:rRNA from 1 species